rnacentral:rRNA from 1 species
AUUGAACGCUGGCGGCAUGCCUUACACAUGCAAGUCGAACGGUAACAGGUCUUCGGAUGCUGACGAGUGGCGAACGGGUGAGUAAUACAUCGGAACGUGCCUAGUAGUGGGGGAUAACUACUCGAAAGAGUGGCUAAUACCGCAUGAGAUCUACGGAUGAAAGCAGGGGAUCGCAAGACCUUGUGCUACUAGAGCGGCCGAUGGCAGAUUAGGUAGUUGGUGGGAUAAAAGCUUACCAAGCCGACGAUCUGUAGCUGGUCUGAGAGGACGAUCAGCCACACUGGGACUGAGACACGGCCCAGACUCCUACGGGAGGCAGCAGUGGGGAAUUUUGGACAAUGGGCGAAAGCCUGAUCCAGCAAUGCCGCGUGCAGGGUGAAGGCCUUCGGGUUGUAAACUGCUUUUGUACGGAACGAAAAGCCCUGGGUUAAUACCCUGGGGUCAUGGCGGUACCGUAAGAAUAAGCACCGGCUAACUACGUGCCAGCAGCCGCCGUAA